GAGGAAGCCCCGGAGGUAAGGGCGCGUGGGGGGCGGUGGCUCCGCGCAGUGACGUCAGGAGCAGCUGGAGUCGGGGAUUACCCCCUGCUGCUGACGUGAGGAUGGUGAACAAUCGGGAACGUUCGGUGGAAGGGGGAAUUCCCCGCCGCUCCCUGAGGAGCCCCUCCUCCCGCCCCUCCCCCGCCCGGGGCCGCCCGGGAGCCUGGGAUGGUGGGGCCUUCGGGAGGAUGAGAAGAGAAGGCCGAGCCGGGACGCAGCCGCGCGAGCUAGAGUGGCGCGUGGCGCGGCGUCUUCCCUGGCUGGACGCUCGGAGCGGCCGCUGCGCGCUUUACUUGCCGGGUACCGCGCUCGGGCCUGGGCGGAAGAGAGAUCACAUGCUCGGCAGUACACGGCCCCGCGCGGGCGGAGCGCUGGCCGUGCAGGCGCGGGGCUAAUUGGGCGCCCAGCAGCAGUGAAUCCACCAUCGUAUGCAAAUACGAGUGUGUCGGACGUAAAUAAUUCGGACGGGAGGCCGGUAGCUGACGAGAGGGGACUAAUUCGGUGGCAGCAAAGCUCAGAUUCUCAAAGGGUAAAAAUGGCUACUAGAUGUAAUCGUGCCAGUCAUUUUUCUUUCUGCUAAGUCUACGGGAGGCAUGAUAUUCAAAGUCAUUUGCGAAAGACUGUUUCUGCUAAAGAAACUGGCCAUCUGAAACAACCAAUGGGAUUUUGAACAAAAAUACCUGUUUUUUUCUUUUUUUAACUUUGAAAGUACAGCUUCCUGAUGAGUAAGGAGUGAUUAAAAGGGAAAGAAAAAACAAGUUGUCCUCUAUUUCCCUUUCCUUUUAUGUCAUCAAGUUCACACGGCUCAUACAAGGGAUUAGCAAAGGUAAGAAAGGAUAUGGUAAGGUUUCUUGAUGGUUCAUGCUUUUUAGAACACCAUUGCUUUUGUUUCUGUUUUGGAAAAUAGUUUUGGUGUAAGAAGUAACGUGGUCCUGGGAACUGUCAGGACCUCCCUCCUUAUUCAGUCGUAGGUAUACUAUGCUACCUAGUACUUGGUUUGAGUCACAGGGAACUCCCACACCUUGUGUAUGGAAGAAAUUCCGUGCCCAUGGGCAUCACAAGUGGUAUGUGCAAAUGGACAGCAAUGAACAGCAGACACACAUAAUGCUUGGAUUUCCUGUUUCUGAGCUGGCUUCAUUGUCCCACUGAAGCUCACUUGCCAAACAGAAGUUCAAAGAUAGAAUUUUCAAGAGUUUUAAGACGGUGACAGCAGAGCCCUAAGCCAAGUGCAGAGCCCUUCUGAACAUGGAGCCCCGUGUUACUUCAUAAGUUGUGUAUCCCUGAAGUCUGCCUUGGUUCCAGGGCCAACAUUCAGCCCUCUCAGGAUGUUUACCAGGUCCCGAGCAAAGGCAGAGCCUGGAAAACUACUGCAAUAUUUGGGAUGUCAUUUGUAAUUAACAUAAAUUUUAACAA